UGUGACUGAUUUAGGUGUCUAAUAGACCAAUAAGAGCUAGUUCUCUAUAUGAUUUGGUGAAAUCAGUGGGAGGAUUUAGAAUUAUCGAUCAGGUUACAUAUCAUUUAAAAUCUUCUAAAUUAUUAGGUCCUUAAAAUGAUAAAGUUAUAUAGAUAACUAGAUCAUAGCCUCCCAUUAAGGUGAAUGAUAAUAGGUCCAAUAUUACAGUUGAAUAUGCAGGACGCUUCCGUCUGGUGUUCCUCUAAAUACUGGAAUUAUCCUUCAUUAUAUGAUAGCUUUUUGAGCUAUCUAAUUGUGAUUAGGUUGGCCGAGCCUUCCUCGGGCCUGAUCAUACAUUAGGUAGUAUCAUCGAGUUAGUUCAUUAAUGGUUGGACCUAACCAAGAUUUUCAGUGGAGGCCUCCGCCUACUGAUUACCACUUGGGGCAAAAUUGAUUGCUAGAAAUU
rnacentral:lncRNA from 1 species